GCACGAAUCGGAAUCUUCUCAGAGAGGAAGCAGGGAACUGGCCUGAAUGUCAAGUUAUGUCUAGUUUUAUGUGGAAACUUUCCAUAAAUGCCAAGAAGCAAAAUACGGGGAAAUAAAGACCAUAGGUAAAGGCCUACCAUUUCCAACACUACCAAACCCUUUCUUCUUUGAGACCAAAUAAAAAUCAGACUUCUAAUCCAUAAUCACAGAAAAUUUGCACUUUCUAAAAUCUAAACACAGCAAAGAAUAACGUGGAACAGUGAAUAUUUUUCAUGUUUACAGAAGCCUAAGAAUUUCACUGUAAGCCUUCAAAAGAAAUACUGUACUUCUAGCGGAUUGAUCUGAACCGUCCUCCUUGAUGAUAUUAAUUCUGUGUAGCAGUUGAAUACUCAACUGGCUCUUGGGACAGUACUUUUGUCCCUGUUUCUUUCAUCAGGUGCCAGCUGAUAUCAAAAUUUUGCAUGUUAUUAAGUAAGCUUUUUAUGUUGAUGGAAAUAUUGUGCAAAACAGAACAAGACUCAUUGUCUUUUUCUGUACAGAUUAUCCUACCUCCUGUGAUAAUACCAGAUUUUUCAAAAUGCACCGUGUGCUUCAGAAAGUUCUACUCAGACAUCAAUCUUUAACUUGUUAAGUCUCACUAUUAACUCUUACUAGUCUUUCAGCAGUUCAUGUGAGUUUAUGAAGUGUCCUAAAACAGGGAAACAGGGGUGCUCUUUGAUUGUAUUAUUUUGAUAUUGAACCAGGAUAGGUCCCUAAUAUUGUAAGCGAAGAUUUUACAAGAAUAAGUUGAUUUUCCUGUGGGUUUUACUAUAAUACUGAAAAGUUGUGCGAUUGUCCUUGCUUGUCAUUCAUUUCAGACUGAAGGUAUCCUAAAGUGUAAUCCCUGUUUUGGUUUUACUGUUUGCUUGGGAUUUUGUCGAGGUUUUUUUGGGGGGGGGGUUGUUUUGUUUUUUUUUUUUUUUAAAACAUGGAUUGUUCUGAUUGUAUAAUGCUGGCUUUGAACUGAUAUACACACACCUUGGCAAGCAUCCUUUGCAUUUCCUUCCUCUUCUGUGGCUAACUGCUGGCAGUGUCAUUAAAGGAGAUCAUUUGGGUUUUGAGCAAAGAAACAGAGGCAAGCCUCUGUUAUAGAAAGAUGUUCCUUUCAGAAUAAGACUUGAAUAUUUUAGGCAAACUCAAAAAAGACAGGAGGCAAUUACUGACACUUGGGAGGUUUCUCACUCCUGAGAAUUUUGAUAGUGUUUAAAACUGUUUUCAUCAGGCCUGAGCACAUUCUUGUUCUCCACACAAUAUAAUAGAACUCACUGCUAGAACAGAUUAGGUUCCCUUAUCUGUUUCAUCUUGUUGUCAUGUCAUAUGUCCUUCAUUUAUACCACUCAAACAAUUGGACUUUUACCUUUUUUUUUUUUGUUCUCCACACAAAUGAUUCACAUUUUAAUUUAGUUUCCAAACUCAGCGUCUCCACUGCUUGUCACUUCCAUGCAAUUCUAACAUUAGUUUGAUUAAGUCUUUGUCAGGAGACUAAAAUACCUUUCAACAACUUCAUCUAUUUGCUAAAAGGUCCAGACAUAGUUACAGGUACAUCCAGACUAACAGAGCUUCUCACUGUGCAGCCCUGGCUUUGGGGUUGUAGCCUGAUAAUGGGCAACAGAGCAAGGAGGGAAACAAAGGGGGGAUUAUUCAAACAUUGUGGAAAAGGUGAGGGGAAAUUGGUUUUGUGUUCUCCCCAUCCCACAUGAAAGUUUAUAGAGGACAAAUGAUACAGCCACAGAUAGCUGUAGAGAAUCAAGGACCGAAAUCUUUGGUGCAAAGGCAUUUCUACCAUACAAAUCAUUCCUUCAGGCUACAUCUGCCUCCUAACAAAUGUCAUUACAUAUAAUGACAUGCUUUUUUAUGUAACGCUCAAGCUUUGGUUUCAGUGCAACCUCUUACAUUUGGAUGGUAAGAUCUGGACUCUCCCUGCUGUUGGAGAUGGGCAUUAUAUCCCCCUUAUCCCAUUUACUUUGAAACAUCCAGAGUUUUGUAAAGAACUAUUGUAACUUGGGUGCUGAACUCUGCUUCUGCACACCACAGUAUAGCGAGUGUCAGUGGUGACUGAGGAAGCCGCUUGCGAGAAGCCAGAGUUUUCAAUUGUCAUUUCACUGUGAGCUAGCAUUAGCACAAGUUCCUUGUUCUGCAUUUCAACUAGCCACUGGGGUGCGUUCAGUGUAAAAUGGUGAGCAUCUUUCCUUUAAUUGCUAUCUGACAUCUAAAUGUUGUUCUUGACAGUGUUAAUUGAAUUAGUAGGCUUGCAAUUUAGCAAUAUGCUACAGACUUUCUGUUCAUUUUUUUAGAAGUGGAAACAGGCAGGUUUUUAAACCUUAGAAUUGGUGAUCAGGUUUGUCUCUUAACAGUAAUUGAGGUUUAGUCCAACUGACAAUUAUUUGCCCUAAAUUAUGUGGAAGUCAGAACCUCAGUCCUCAGUAACACCUAAGCUAUUGAACUCCUACUGAACACAUCUUAAGUUUGUUGCCCAAAUGUUUUUGAGAUGAGAGCCCAAAUUACAACUUCAUGCUCAUCCACCCAAUUCAAAAUUCUUGUAUGUCACAUGUCCACAAAGAUAGCGAGGACUGAGAGGAUGUUCUGUCAAAAGAUGGCCUGGUCUAUUGACAGUGUUCACCCAAUACUGUCCCUCUCAUCCUCCUCUGUUGAGGAAGGGCAUCGUACUUCAGACCCAGGUCUCUGGGUGGUCUCUGUCCAAGUGUAAUACAGUCACCAAACUAUUUGUGUGGAUCAGUUCUGAAGUGUGGUUUAAAUAAGUUACCUCACUGUGAGGAACAUCUGCCUUAGAGGUUUUGCAGUGUGCUGAAGUCUUGCUUACACAUGAAAUGUUUAGCAGAUUGGUUGCUUUUUAAUGUGUUCAUUGGUUUCAAUGCUGAUGUCUUCUUUGAAUUGGGUUCUCUCUUCCAUAAGAGAGACUAAAAGUAUUAGCUAUUAAAAGCAUGUUUCUGCCAUGGUACUGAUUUCUCAGGAGCUCUUUGAAGUUGGAAAAAAAUUAUUAAGCUAAGCUUACAGCUAAGUGCAGAAGUAGAAAACUAUAAUCAUAGAUAAAUAAGGGACUGGAAUGUCAUGGGCACCAGUGCUUUCACCUGUACUCUGCUUUUCAUUUAGGAGGUGAUUACAAGAACACUGAAUGUAACUUCAUGCAGACACCAGUUCCAAGACAGAGAUGCAGAUAUUUGGUUUUGUACUUGGCUGGGAUUUCAGUAGGAGGAUGAAGGGGCCCUUCCUGUUUGCCCUCUACUCUUUGCUUACUGGAAUGAUGCGAGUUUAUAAAAAGAUCUUAUCAUUGCUGUUAAUAGUACAUUGAGAAGAGGAUUUCAAUUUUUGUGCUCCCCAUCACCAGUGACAGUGGAGAAAGCAGAAUGGAGGUGCAGGCAGCCCUCCACCUCCUCUGUGCACCAUACCAAGCUAUGCCACUGCAUGAAUCGGAGCCCACCUAGGAGGAGAGGAUGAGUUAUUCAGCCAGGGAGUAGAGUCCUAUGCAAACUUGUGCGUAUGGAAGUUUCCAGAGUCACAGAAAGACACUAGAUACUUCAGUAGCAACGAGUGAAGUUCCUGAGCCCACAUCUAUUCUGCAGGCUGCACUGACCUCGCCAGUGCGUUUAGUACCCUGGAGAAGUGAUGCAAUGUUUAUUGUAUCACUCAACAUUUUUUCAUGUGACCAGCACAUACAGUUGCAUACUGUUUCUUCACUAGAGGGAGUCUAAGACAAGGAUUACAGAGCACUUCUAACAGCUAAUUAAGAAGCAGUGGUGGCAUAAUAAAAUAGGAUGUUGAAAACUGGAUGAUCCCUCAAAAGCCAAACAACAGCUGCCACGUCUCAAAAGGGCUGUUGUGGGUUUGGUUUUUUUUUUCCUUUUUCUUUUACAAGAAUGCAUUUCCUACAUUAUGCUGUUUUCUUUUGGAAGACACCCCGAUAGUGCAAAUGAGCACUAAGCUAAUGAUGCUCUUUCUCUGUACCAUGCUUGAUCUCCGAGUACAGUGCACCACAACUGGAUAACAAUACGCGAAUCACUUGGUAUUUAAAAACCCAACUUAUUGACCAGGAAAAGAUACUGUUUACAUUUAUAGCUGGAAGCCACAGUCCUCCUAGAGUAGGAUCCUACAUGUUGUACAGUGAAACAAGAAAAGGCUGCUGCACUAUUUCUGCCAAACUUACAGCUGGAGUAAACAGGAUUAUACAGAUGACAGCUCAUUGUCACUCCUGAUGCUGCUCAAGGAACAGCUUCUUUGGAGGUAGUUCGUAAGUUGUUUUCUAUUAGCCUUUUUUCCCCAGGAAUUCUAAAGGUAAAAAUUGCAUAUAUCAGAGCCAGCUUAGGGAUGCCAGUUCAUCCAGUCUCUGAAGCUUCCAAGGAAGCACAAUCACCAGUGAAUAGCUAAGGAAACUGAUAGGAAUCAUGAUGUUAAAUAUGAGAACUUGGAUGAAGGAAUAGGGUGUUCUCAUUAAGGCAUGCAAAGUUUUUUAUCAGUUUCCCUGUAUCUCUAGUUUAAUUGUCUGUGUUCAAUGUUAUGCUGCUUACUACACAUAAAGCCAUGGCUCAUUUUCAGCUACAAUAGUUUGAUAAUUCUUAGUCUAAAUACCCUCUUUCUAGGCAUUUUAUAUUUAGCAAGGAAUAAGAAAAAUCAAGUGCUGUAAAUGUUCACUUAUUUGUGUUCACUAAGCAUUAUAAAAUUACCAAGAACUUAACAAAUCACAUAUGCUAUUCUUAGUCUAAAUAAGUAUCUGUAUUUUAAUUUUCUACUGUAUGUGCAAUACUCAGGCAAGAAAAAUAACCAGCCAGUCAUCUGCCCUGAUGGGUAGAUUUAGUUCAAUCUAACGGUAAUUACAGUAUCAUUGGAAUAGUCUUGAUUAAUUUAUCUAUUAAUUAUUUACAGCUCCCAAGUUGCAUUUUAGUUGGCCCAGCCUUUGGAUUAACAGAUGCCUGUCUUUUGGUUGGACCGGUUGCUUUCCUGUACAUUAAGCACUAUAAACCACGUAAGUGGUUUCAAAUGUCUAAAUUUCUCUUUUGACUGUAUUAUGAUUUCUACAUAGAAUAAAAUCAUUUGCAAGAACAGUUUUCAAAGUUUAACAGGAGGGAUGAGUGACUACAGCCAGCACUGUAAUACUCCUUACUGCUAUUGUGAUCUUUAGCCACUGCUCUUAAAACCAACGCUCCCAUGCUUUUGUUCACAUUUGCUAAAAAAGCAAUAUUUUCAUUUGGUAUUUUGGUGGCUGCAGGCAGGCUGGAGAUUGCUAAGCCAUCUGUGCUGUUACGUGGCACCGCAGACCUGUGCUGGCUGGAUUCAGGUUGGAUCCUACAGCUGUCUGACGGCCCGCACAGUACCAGCCUCAAUGAGGGCCAGGGAUCACCAGUUGGCAUCAUAUCCCCUUGAUCUCUGCCAGCUAAUACAUGCUUCGUCAUAGCUCAUCUUUCAGUCUAGACAUGUCCUAAAUGUUUCAGGUGUCCCUCAGGCUCCUCAGGACAAAGCAAGGGUUGCACCAGUGUUGCACCAAAUACGCAGAGAACAUUUUUUUAAAACUUACUUUAUAAAACAAAAAACAAGUUGCAAUGUAAUAGUUAUGAAAUAGGGGAAAAAAGUAGGGAAAAAAGUGCUGGGAUUAGAGGCAAUGCAUUCAUAUACUGCAGACUAACUGAAAAGAUGCAGUUUGACUCAGAAAGUGACCGAUACAAGACGUCCUGCUCAUGCCUGAUGCACACAUGUGAUCAGCAGAACUUCUAAGUGGUAACUCCCAACUGCUUGGUGAUAUGGUUUCUUCGUUAUUAAAAAGAAACAGUGACAAACAUGCAUGUAAAUAACCCUUUCACAAACAAAUUCAUAUGGAAGAAACUUUAGAGGCUGGCUGGCUGUAGCUGACUGUACCAGUCACAUAUCUGGCAACAGGGAUGGACUAAACAUCUCCAUAAUCGCAGCUCUUCAAUCAAGAGAAUUUAAUUGCAUGUUUUAAGGAAUAAAGCAUCAAUAUAUUUAUGCAUUGUCAUAGUAUAGUAUCUAAAUCUUUGUAAAGGGAGGAACCAACUUGUGUUUACAAGUUGAAAAAAAUAAAACCUCACUCAAGCUUAUUUUAGGCAGCCAUUUGCACUGUGCAAAUGCAGCUCACUUCUCACAUAGCCAUUCUCCUUGGUGCACAGCUCCUCAACACUGUCCAGAAGCUGGCUGCAGUCUGUCCAACAUUUGGAGCAAGCUCCUGGGGCAGCUCCUGCCACUGGCUUUCCCGUACUCCUGCAGCUGGAGAGGGAGGACAUCAUCUGCCCACAGCUGGCAAGGACGGGGUGAAGCUGCCCUGUGCAAUGCAGAGGGCAGCCUCCUGCCACAUUCUGGAGACACAGAGCCUCCUGCACAUCUUGGGCAGCAAAGAAGGUCUUUCUGGUACACCGUUGCCUGCCUGGACAGAGGCAAGGAAGAAGCAAGCUGUGUACUAUCACAAGCCUCUCCUGAUAGCACGCGCACUGCUGACUGUGUGUAGCUCAUGCAGGAGAGAGAGAAUUAUUAGCAUUCAUUUCUUUUUCUUGCCAUUUUUAAUUAAUGUGCAUUUAGAAACAGAUGCAUCCCCUUCUCCCUUACAGUUUCUCAAAAAAAUACUAGCUUCAAAGGAAGCAUAGAAAUGAAGUGUUUGGAAGAAGCUCUCUUGAAUUACCAGGUUGUGGACUUUCAUCCCAAACCAUUAAUAUUAAACUUUUUAUCUGAAGUAUCCACAAGAGAGAAAGGUACAAAUUUUCUCAUGGAGUGAUGUACAAUGCAACACACAACGUAGCACUGCAAGAGAAGAGAAGGCAAUUCUGCUAAAGGACCAGGAGGAUCUGAAAGCUUUUCAGCAUCAAGUGCACAUAGAAGAGAACAGCACUUUCAUGGCUCUACCUACUGUUCAUGUUUCUCCAAAGGCAUGUGAGCGUGACAGGGCAGAUUGAAAUAAUUCAUGACACUCUUAACUGUCAUCCUCUUGAGUGGACAACACCACUGACUGUCAUAAGUAAGCAAACUGCUUUGCCAUGCAGUGAGGGUACGGUUUAAUUUGUGGAAGACAGUAGCUGUCUGGAUUUACAGUUGGUAGGGCUAUGAUGGUGUUAAAACAGAUAAUUUUUCAAAGCAAGUGUUCACUUUAGGACUCCCAAAUUUUCAUCUCACUGUUAACAAGGAUGGGUGUUCUUUGUCUCCAAAGCUGUGACAGUGAUUUCUUCUAGCCCAGAUGCCCUCACAUGAAUACACAA